rnacentral:rRNA from 1 species
UACAGAGGUCUCAAGCGUUGUUCGGAUUCAUUGGGCGUAAAGGGUGCGUAGGCGGCGCGGUAAGUCGGGUGUGAAAUCUCGGGGCUUAACUCCGAAACUGCAUUCGAUACUGCCGUGCUUGAGGACUGGAGAGGAGACUGGAAUUUACGGUGUAGCGGUGAAAUGCGUAGAUAUCGGGAGGAAUACCAGUGGCGAAGGCGGCUUCUUGGCCUGUUCUUGACGCUGAGGCGCGAAAGCUGGGGGAGCAAACGGG